rnacentral:rRNA from 1 species
AGAGUUUGAUCAUGGCUCAGAUUGAACGCUGGCGGCAGGCCUAACACAUGCAAGUCGAGCGGUAACAGAAAGUAGCUUGCUACUUUGCUGACGAGCGGCGGACGGGUGAGUAAUGCUUGGGAACAUGCCUUGAGGUGGGGGACAACAGUUGGAAACGACUGCUAAUACCGCAUAAUGUCUACGGACCAAAGGGGGCUUCGGCUCUCGCCUUUAGAUUGGCCCAAGUGGGAUUAGCUAGUUGGUGAGGUAAUGGCUCACCAAGGCGACGAUCCCUAGCUGGUUUGAGAGGAUGAUCAGCCACACUGGGACUGAGACACGGCCCAGACUCCUACGGGAGGCAGCAGUGGGGAAUAUUGCACAAUGGGCGCAAGCCUGAUGCAGCCAUGCCGCGUGUGUGAAGAAGGCCUUCGGGUUGUAAAGCACUUUCAGUCAGGAGGAAAGCGUGGUGGUUAAUACCCAUCAUGUGUGACGUUACUGACAGAAGAAGCACCGGCUAACUCCGUGCCAGCAGCCGCGGUAAUACGGAGGGUGCGAGCGUUAAUCGGAAUUACUGGGCGUAAAGCGUACGCAGGCGGUUUGUUAAGCGAGAUGUGAAAGCCCCGGGCUCAACCUGGGAACUGCAUUUCGAACUGGCAAACUAGAGUGUGAUAGAGGGUGGUAGAAUUUCAGGUGUAGCGGUGAAAUGCGUAGAGAUCUGAAGGAAUACCGAUGGCGAAGGCAGCCACCUGGGUCAACACUGACGCUCAUGUACGAAAGCGUGGGGAGCAAACGGGAUUAGAUACCCCGGUAGUCCACGCCGUAAACGAUGUCUACUAGAAGCUCGGAGCCUCGGUUCUGUUUUUCAAAGCUAACGCAUUAAGUAGACCGCCUGGGGAGUACGGCCGCAAAGGUUAAAACUCAAUGAAUUUGACGGGGGCCCGCACAAGCGGUGGAGCAUGUGGUUUAAUUCGAUGCA